AUUGAACGCUGGCGGCAGGCCUAACACAUGCAAGUCGAGCGAGCGGCGGACGGGUGAGUAAUGUAUGGGAACCUGCCUGAUGGCGGGGGAUAACUACUGGAAACGGUAGCUAAUACCGCAUACCAUCAGAUGUACCCAUAUGGGAUUAGCUUGUAGGUGGGGUAAAGGCUCACCUAGGCGACGAUCCCUAGCUGGUCUGAGAGGAUGAGCAGCCACACGGGAACUGAGACACGGCCCAGACUCCUACGGGAGGCAGCAGUGGGGAAUAUUGCACAAUGGGCGCAAGCCUGAUGCAGCCAUGCCGCGUGUAUGAAGAAGGCCUUCGGGUUGUAAAGUACUUUCAGCGAGGAGGCGUUACCCGCAGAAGAAGCACCGGCUAACUCCGUGCCAGCAGCCGCGGUAAUUC
rnacentral:rRNA from 1 species